UUGCUUUGGAACACAUAUACCAAAAUUGAAACAAUACACAGAAGAUCAGCAUGGCACCUACGCAAGAUGACACGCAAAUUCACCAAAUACUUAUUCCAUAC
rnacentral:snRNA from 1 species